rnacentral:rRNA from 1 species
UACGUAGGGUGCAAGCGUUGUCCGGAAUUAUUGGGCGUAAAGAGCUCGUAGGCGGUUUGUCGCGUCUGCUGUGAAAACCCGAGGCUCAACCUCGGGCCUGCAGUGGGUACGGGCAGACUAGAGUGCGGUAGGGGAGAUUGGAAUUCCUGGUGUAGCGGUGGAAUGCGCAGAUAUCAGGAGGAACACCAGUGGCGAAGGCAGGGUCUCUGGGCCAUAACUGACGCUGAGGAGCGAAAGCUGGGGAGCGAACAGGAUUAGA